UACGUAGGGACCAAGCGUUGUUCGGAUUUACUGGGCGUAAAGGGCGCGUAGACGGCAAUUCAAGUCAUCUGUGAAAUCUCCGGGCUUAACUCGGAACGGUCAGAUGAUACUGCUUUGCUAGAGUGCGGAAGGGGCAAUCGGAAUUCUUGGUGUAGCGGUGAAAUGCGUAGAUAUCAAGAGGAACACCUGAGGUGAAGACGGGUUGCUGGGCCGACACUGACGCUGAGGCGCGAAAGCCAGGGGAGCAAACGGG
rnacentral:rRNA from 1 species